UGUGUGGUUCUGCUUCACCUGGUUGGAAACAACUCGAACUAGCAAAGUGAUAGAAAAAUAAGAGAGGAAAUGAGAAGGUUAAAGAUGACAACAAAAUUUGAAAAGUGCAAACUGACUACAGGAGAAGAACCGAUUUAACCCAGCCAAGACAGGUGAACAUGAUCUUAUGCAGAUACUGAGGAUCAAGGCUGUUUAGCCUGUAAAACCCCAUAAAGAUAUAGAAAGCAAAAACUGGGCAUGUGUUCUAGGUUAACCAACAGGCUUAAUAUUUAGAAAUUUGGAAGUAAAGGCUAGGAUUUUAUUUUUAAAGAAGCUACAGUAAUAAAAAAAUAAAAUAAACUGUUGCCUCUUAGGAAUAGGAUUGGAAUGUGGAAAAGAAUAAAGCAUGGAUUAUUUUUUU